rnacentral:rRNA from 1 species
GACGAACGCUGGCGGCGUGCUUAACACAUGCAAGUCGAGCGGUAAGGCCCUUUCGGGGGUACACGAGCGGCGAACGGGUGAGUAACACGUGGGUGACCUGCCCUCAGCUCUGGGAUAAGCCCGGGAAACUGGGUCUAAUACCGGAUAUGACCCUAUGGCGCAUGUUGUGGGGUGGAAAGCCUUGUGCGGCUAGGGAUGGGCCCGCGGCCUAUCAGCUUGUUGGUGGGGUGAUGGCCACCAAGGCGACGACGGGUAGCCGGCCUGAGAGGGCGACCGGCCACACUGGGACUGAGACACGGCCCAGACUCCUACGGGAGGCAGCAGUGGGGAAUCUUGCGCAAUGGGCGAAAGCCUGACGCAGCGACGCCGCGUGAGGGAUGACGGCCU